CAGCGGGGGUAGCUUGCUACCUGCCGGCGAGUGGCGAACGGGUGAGUAAUACAUCGGAACGUGCCCUGUAGUGGGGGAUAACUAGUCGAAAGACUAGCUAAUACCGCAUACGACCUGAGGGUGAAAGUGGGGGACCGCAAGGCCUCAUGCUAUAGGAGCGGCCGAUGUCUGAUUAGCUAGUUGGUGGGGUAAAGGCCCACCAAGGCGACGAUCAGUAGCUGGUCUGAGAGGACGAUCAGCCACACUGGGACUGAGACACGGCCCAGACUCCUACGGGAGGCAGCAGUGGGGAAUUUUGGACAAUGGGGGCAACCCUGAUCCAGCAAUGCCGCGUGUGUGAAGAAGGCCUUCGGGUUGUAAAGCACUUUUGUCCGGAAAGAAAUCGCUUCGGUUAAUACCUGGAGUGGAUGACGGUACCGGAAGAAUAAGGACCGGCUAACUACGUGCCAGCAGCCGCGGUAAUACGUAGGGUCCAAGCGUUAAUCGGAAUUACUGGGCGUAAAGCGUGCGCAGGCGGUUGUGCAAGACCGAUGUGAAAUCCCCGGGCUUAACCUGGGAAUUGCAUUGGUGACUGCACAGCUAGAGUGUGUCAGAGGGAGGUAGAAUUCCACGUGUAGCAGUGAAAUGCGUAGAGAUGUGGAGGAAUACCGAUGGCGAAGGCAGCCUCCUGGGAUAACACUGACGCUCAUGCACGAAAGCGUGGGGAGCAAACAGGAUUAGAUACCCUGGUAGUCCACGCCCUAAACGAUGUCAACUAGUUGUUGGGGAUUCAUUUCCUUAGUAACGUAGCUAACGCGUGAAGUUGACCGCCUGGGGAGUACGGUCGCAAGAUUAAAACUCAAAGGAAUUGACGGGGACCC
rnacentral:rRNA from 1 species